rnacentral:rRNA from 1 species
UACGGAGGGUGCAAGCGUUAUCCGGAUUCACUGAGCUUAAAGGGUGCGUAGGCGGGGAAGUAAGUCCGUGGUGAAAUCUCUGAGCUUAACUCAGAAACUGCCGUGGAUACUAUUUGCCUUGAAUAUUGUGGAGGUGAGCGGAAUAUGUCAUGUAGCGGUGAAAUGCGUAGAUAUUGGGAGGAACACCAGUGGCGAAGGCGGCUCACUGGACCGGUACUGACGCUGAUGCGCGAAAGCGUGGGGAGCAAACGGG